rnacentral:lncRNA from 1 species
AUUUUUUUUGGUGGACCCUAAAUCACAAAUUCUUCCACUCUAGGUCCUCGAAUAUGUUGAAAGUUUUGCCUUGCUUUUCAGAUUCUCAGCCACUUCUUCAGGAAUACGCUCAUUCUUCUUGGGGGAGAAUGGCUGCAAAAGCUGGGCUGGCUGCACUGAGUUUUCAUCUUCUCUCAGAUCUUGGCUCUGUAAUCCUCACUGCACUUUUAGUUCUCUGUUGUCUACAUAGACAGACAGACAGAUAGAUGUAGAUAAAAGUGUAGAUACACAAAAAUUUGUAUUUGAGUUUCCUGAUUGUGCUUUCAGUGGAACUGUUGGUCAAAAUUAGCUAGACUACCACACUGAGGUUUCUUAACAAGCUCAAACUAACCAUGAUAGCAAUGACAUUUGAAAAAGAAUAAAGUUAAAAAUUAGUUUUAUUUUUCAUUGAUAUAUAAUUCAUGUGUUUGGAAUUAUAGAAGAUUAAUGCUAAACAUUUUUACUAUAUUGCCCUUUUUUUUUUUUAAAGAUUUUAUUUUUUCCUUUUUCUCCCCAAAGCCCCCCAGUACAUAGUUGUAUAUUCUUUGUUGUGUGUUCUUCUAGUUGUGGCAUGUGGGACGCUGCCUCAGCGUGGUUUAAUGAGCAGUGCCAUGUCCGCGCCCAGGAUCCGAAUGGCGAAACCCUGGGCCGCCACAGUGGGGUGUGCAAACUUAACCACUCAGCCACGGGGCCGGCCCCCGAGAGAAUUUUCAAUUUUGCAUGCUGGAAGUCAGUGUUUCUGAGAAUGAUGUCUUUAGGUAAUUUGAAAAAUAAGGUCAAAAUAAUAGACACUGUAAAUUAUUUUCAAUAAUAUAUCACAACUUUAAGAUUCUUUUAUGUAAUUUUAUUUUGUACUUAUUAAUUUUUUAAUAAUUGGUAACAAAUCAGCAUUUUGUGCUUACCUGAAUGUUUUCUUAACUGAAUAUGAUUAUGUUAUUAUUUGAGUAGUCAGAAUACAUAUUUGCUCCAAAUUAGUAAAGGGGGAAAAACAUGAAAAUUUUAUUAUGAGCCUAGAAUUUCUCAGACAGAUG